CAUAAGAGAACGACGAUAACCGCAUACUUUCAUUUGAUCCUCCUGAUCUGGAUUUAAUAGUCCAGUACAUGGUUUUGAAACUACAAAUAAAAAUUGGAAAGACAAUUAAAAAUGUUGAACGGCGUGUUACAAAUAUUUUUUGGCGUGCUUAUAAAAAUUGGAUAGACAAAGGAAAAAACAAUAAACUAGACAAACCAGUGCGGCAUCUACGACUCUAGAAUCAAAGAAAUUAAGGUAGAAUUACUGAGUUUCUGCCAUUAGUUUUAAUAACGUAUUACUGUCUCUAUUCUAUGGAAAUUAAAAUAGAAACACUGUUCCAAUAUUAAAAUAUAGCAAGGAUCUAAAAAUGCCGAGGUUAUUUAGUAUUACACACAGUAGGACUCUUAAUGUACACAAAAUGCAAUGAUUGCUAUCAACCUGCACUAAGGCAGCAAAGAGAGUAGUCGCAUGACAGUUCCUCUAGUCAUGGUUGUCUCGGUAAGAGUUUUUCCCUAAUUAUAGCUACAUUCAUAUGCAUAUGUACAUACAUAUGCAGGUCCAGCAGAUCAAAACAAUGUUUAAUGCUAAAGUGUAAAUCCAUAAAUGACCAGUUCUGCAAAGUGAUUUGCAUCAAGUUAUUGUUAUUCAAUCUCAUAUUCAUUCAUAUUCAUCUCAUAAUUCAUUUCUGAUUAUUAUUAGAAAGAAGUAGUUAAAUUGGCAAUGGACACUAAAGAGUGGACAAAGCACUCUGAAAAUUCGUAAAAACAUUAAACUAACGCAUAAAAUGUGAGCUAUACAUGAAGAAAUUAGUUGAUAACACUCUUUUGUACAUGAAAUUAAACAUAAUAAAAAAAAUUCUAAUAAAAAA